rnacentral:rRNA from 1 species
GGUGAACGCUGGCGGCGUGCUUAAGACAUGCAAGUCGAACGGCAGUCUUCGGACUGUAGUGGCGCACGGGUGAGUAACGCGUAACUGACCUACCCCAAAGUCGCGGAUAACGAUUCGAAAGAAUCGCUAAUACGUGAUGUUCUGUCAGAUUGUGUUCUGCCAGUAAAGAUUGAUUGCUUUGGGAUGGGGUUGCGUUCCAUCAGCUAGUUGGUGGGGUAAAGGCCCACCAAGGCGACGACGGAUAGCCGGCCUGAGAGGGUGGCCGGCCACAGGGGCACUGAGACACGGGUCCCACUCCUACGGGAGGCAGCAGUUAGGAAUCUUCCACAAUGGGCGAGAGCCUGAUGGAGCGACGCCGCGUGAGGGAUGAAGGUCUUCGGAUCGUAAACCUCUGAAUCAGGGACGAAAGACACUUCGGUGGGAUGACGGUACCUGAGUAAUAGCACCGGCUAACUCCGUGCCAGCCGCCGCCGUAAAAC